rnacentral:rRNA from 1 species
UACAGAGGUCCCAAGCGUUGUUCGGAUUCACUGGGCGUAAAGCGUGCGCAGGCGGUUCGCCAAGUCAGGUGUGAAAUCCCCGGGCUUAACCUGGGAAUUGCGCUUGAAACUAGCGGGCUUGAGUGUGGCAGAGGGGGGUGGAAUUCCACGUGUAGCAGUGAAAUGCGUAGAGAUGUGGAGGAACACCGAUGGCGAAGGCAGCCCCCUGGGUCAACACUGACGCUCAUGCACGAAAGCGUGGGGAGCAAACAGG